rnacentral:rRNA from 1 species
AGUGAACGCUGGCGGCAGGCCUAACACAUGCAAGUCGAACGGCAGCACAGUAAGAGCUUGUUCUUACGGGUGGCGAGUGGCGGACGGGUGAGGAAUACAUCGGAAUCUACUUUUUCGUGGGGGAUGACGCAGGGAAACUUACGCUAAUACUGCAUACGACCUACGGGUGAAAGCAUGGGAUCUUCGGACCUCGCGCGAUUGAAUGAGCCGAUGUCGGAUUAGCUAGUUGGCGGGGUAAAGGCCCACCAAGGCGACGAUCCGUAGCUGGUCUGAGAGGAUGAUCAGCCACACUGGAACUGAGACACGGUCCAGACUCCUACGGGAGGCAGCAGUGGGGAAUAUUGGACAAUGGGCGAAAGCCUGAUCCAGCCAUGCCGCGUGGGUGAAGAAGGCCUUCGGGUUGUAAAGCCCUUUUGUUGGGAAAGAAAAGCAGCAAGUUAAUACCCCGCUGUUCUGACGGUACCCAAAGAAUAAGCACCGGCUAACUUCGUG